UACGUAGGGUGCGAGCGUUGUCCGGAAUUAUUGGGCGUAAAGGGCUCGUAGGCGGUUUGUCGCGUCGGGAGUGAAAUCCACUGGCUUAACUGGUGGCUUGCUUUCGAUACGGGUAGACUGGAGGUAUGCAGGGGGAGAACGGAAUUCCUGGUGUAGCGGUGAAAUGCGCAGAUAUCAGGAGGAACACCGGUGGCGAAGGCGGUUCUCUGGGCAUGUCCUGACGCUGAGGAGCGAAAGUGUGGGGAGCGAACAGG
rnacentral:rRNA from 1 species